rnacentral:lncRNA from 1 species
UCGGACCCCAAAUCCAGUUGCAAAAUCAAACGGGAUUUCUUCGGACCCCAAAUCAAGUUGCAAAAUCAAACGAAAAUUUCUUCGGACCCCAAAUCGAAUUGCAAAAUCAAACGGGGAUUUCUUCGGACCCGAAAUCGAAUUGCAAAAUCAAAAGCGGAUUUCUUCGGACCCCAAAUCAAAUUGCAAAAUCAAAAGUGGAUUUCUUUGGACCCCAAAGCAAAUUACAAAAUCAAACGGGGAUUCUUCGGACCCCAAAUCGAAUUGCAAAAUCAAAAGGGGAUUUCUUCGGACCCCAAAUCAAAUUGCAAAAUCAAAAGAGGAUUUUUUCGGACCCCAAAUCGAAUUGCAAAAUCAAAAGAGAAUUUCCUCGGACCCGAAAUAGAAUUGAAAUGAAAGCCAAGUCCACAUAAGAACCCAAACCCGGACUCAAAUCCAAAUCAAAACCAAGUCCACAAAUAAAAUCCAAACCCAACCCAAACCAAGUUCACAUAAGGACCCAAAUCCGAAUCAAGUCCACUAACAAAGCCGAAACUUGAAUCCAAAUCAAAUCCAAUCGAAAACCAAACCCAAAACCCAAAAUCCAAACUCAAUCCACAAAUAAAAACCAAACCCAAAACCCAAAUCCGAAUCAAAUCUUGUCUACAAAUAAAACCGAAACCCAAAUCCAAAUCAAAACCAAGUCCACAAAUAAACCCAAACCCAAAACCCAAAUCAAAUUCAAACCCAAACCCAAAAUCGAAACUCAAUCCAUAAAUAAAAACCAAAACCAAAACCUAAACCCAAAAAACCCAAAACCAAACUAAGUCCACAAAUAAAACUUGAACCUGAACCCAAAUCCAUAAACGUAACCUCAUGAACCAUAUACCAAGUUCAUGAACCACGAACCAUAUCCAUGAACCUUACCCGAGUUCGUGAACCAAAUCUCAUAAACCAUACCCAAGUUUAUGAACCACAUCAUACCCAAGUUCAUGAACCAAGUCUCAUGAAUCAUAAACCAAAUCCCAUAAGCCAAGUUCACGAACCAUACACCAUGAACCAUGAACCAUAACCAAGUUCAUGAACCGAGUCUCAUGAACCAUAAACUAAACCCAUAAAAUAUACACCAAGUUUAUGAAUCAUAAACCAAGUUCAUAAACCAUACCUUAUGAACCAUGAACCAUGAACCAAAUGAACCAAAUUCAUGAACCAUACACCAUGAACAAUAAACCAUACACCAUGAACCAUGAACCAAGUUCAUAAACCUUAUCCAUGAACCAUGAACCAAGUUCAUGAACCAUGAACCAAGUCCACGAACCAUAUCCAAGUUCAUGAACCAUAAACCAAAUCCCACAUAUCUAACCUCAUGAACCAUGAAUCAAGUUCAUGAACCAUGAACCAAGUCCAUGAACCAUAUCCAAGUUCAUGAACCAAAUCCCACAUACCUAAUCUCAUGAACCACCACCCAAGUUCAUAAACCAUGAGCCAAGUCUAUAAACCAAAUUCAUACACCAAACACAUGAACCAUACACCAAGUUCAUAAACCAUAAACCAAACCUCAUGAACCGUACACUAAGUUCAUGAAACCAUACCCAAGUUCAUAAACCAUACACCACAUCCCAUGAACCAAAUCUCAUGGACCAAAUCCCAUGGACCAUAUACAAAACCUCAUAAACCAUACACCAAAUCCUAUUAGCCAUACACCAAACCAUAUCCAAAUCUCAUGAACCAAAUCUCAGGAGCCAACAUCCAAAUCUCAUGAACUAUGUAUCAAGUUCAUACCCAAAGUUCAUC